CACGGAGUUAGCCGAUCCUUAUUCAUAUGGUACAUACAAAACAGUAUACAUACUGAACUUUAUUCCCAUAUAAAGAAGUUUACAACCCAUAGGGCAGUCAUCCUUCACGCUACUUGGCUGGUUCAGACUCUCGUCCAUUGACCAAUAUUCCUCACUGCUGCCUCCCGUAGGAGUUUGGACCGUGUCUCAGUUCCAAUGUGGGGGACCUUCCUCUCAGAACCCCUAUCCAUCGUAGGUUUGGUGGGCCGUUACCCCGCCAACUGCCUAAUGGAACGCAUCCCCAUCUUCAACCGAAUCUUAAUAACCAAGUCAGGAACCAGGUUAUAGCCAUCAAGUAUUAAUCUUCUUUCGAAAGGCUAUCCCUGAGUUGAAGGCAGGUUGGACUACGUGUUACUCACCCGUGCGCCGGUCGCCAUCGAACUUAGCAAGCUAAGUUCAUGCUGCCCCUCGACUUGCAUGUGUUAAGCCUGUAGCUAGCGUUCAUCCUGAGCCAGGAUCAAACGUCU
rnacentral:rRNA from 1 species